CCCAGUUAAACUUGAAUUUCAAAUAACACCAAACAAUAUUACAAUAUUAAUAUGAUGUGGUAUUUGGGACACACUUAUACUAAAAAAAUCAUUUGCUGUUUGUCUGAAACUCAAGUUUAGCUGGGC
rnacentral:miRNA from 1 species